AAGCGGUGGAUGAUGUGGUUUAAUUCGAUGCAACGCGAAAACCUUACCCACCUUUGACAUGGCAGGAAUCCUGAAGAGAUUUGGGAGUGCUCGAAAGAGAACCUGCACACAGGUGCUGCAUGGCUGUCGUCAGCUCGUGUCGUGAGAUGUUGGGUUAAGUCCCGCAACGAGCGCAACCCUUGCCAUUAGUUGCUACAUUCAGUUGGGCACUCUAAUGAGACUGCCGUGACAAACCGGAGGAAGUGGGGAUGACGUCAAGUCCUCAUGGCCCUUAUAGGUGGGGCUACACACGUCAUACAAUGGAUGGUACAAAGGGUCGCCAACCCGCGAGGGGGAGCCAAUCCCAUAAAGCCAUUCGUAGUCCGGAUCGCAGUCUGCAACUCGACUGCGUGAAGUCGGAAUCGCUAGUAAUCGUGGAUCAGAAUGUCACGGUGAAUACGUUCCCGGGCCUU
rnacentral:rRNA from 1 species